UACGUAGGUGGCAAGCGUUGUCCGGAUUUACUGGGCGUAAAGGGAGCGUAGGCGGACUUUUAAGUGGGAUGUGAAAUACCCGGGCUUAACCUGGGUGCUGCAUUCCAAACUGGGAGUCUAGAGUGCAGGAGGGGAAAGUGGAAUUCCUAGUGUAGCGGUGAAAUGCGUAGAGAUUAGGAAGAACACCGGUGGCGAAGGCGACUCACUGGACACAUAUUGACGCUGAGGUGCGAAAGCGUGGGGAGCAAACAGG
rnacentral:rRNA from 1 species